GGUUCGGUAGUUCAGCCGGCAGAGCGCGUGCCUUUUAAGCCCGUGGCCGCGGGUUCGAGCCUCGCCCGAGGUG
rfam:Perkinsus marinus ATCC 50983 gcontig_1104296205954, whole genome shotgun sequence.